UACGUAGGGGGCAAGCGUUGUUCGGAAUUACUGGGCGUAAAGCGUGCGCAGGCGGCUUUGCAAGACAGAUGUGAAAUCCCCGGGCUCAACCUGGGAACUGCAUUUGUGACUGCAAGGCUGGAGUACGGCAGAGGGGGAUGGAAUUCCGCGUGUAGCAGUGAAAUGCGUAGAUAUGCGGAGGAACACCGAUGGCGAAGGCAAUCCCCUGGGCCUGUACUGACGCUCAUGCACGAAAGCGUGGGGAGCAAACAGG
rnacentral:rRNA from 1 species